GACGAACGCUGGCGGCGUGCUUAACACAUGCAAGUCGAACGGAAAGGCCCUGCUUUUGUGGGGUGCUCGAGUGGCGAACGGGUGAGUAACACGUGAGUAACCUGCCCUUGACUUUGGGAUAACUUCAGGAAACUGGGGCUAAUACCGGCUAGGAGCUCCUGCUGCAUGGUGGGGGUUGGAAAGUUUCGGCGGUUGGGGAUGGACUCGCGGCUUAUCAGCUUGUUGGUGGGGUAGUGGCUUACCAAGGCUUUGACGGGUAGCCGGCAUGAGAGGGUGACCGGCCACAUUGGGACUGAGAUACGGCCCAGACGCCUACGGGAGGCAGCAGUGGGGAAUAUUGCACAAUGGGCGGAAGCCUGAUGCAGCAACGCCGCGUGCGGGAUGACGGCCUUCGGGUUGUAAACCGCUUUCGCCUGUGACGAAGCGUGAGUGACGGUAAUGGGUAAAGAAGCACCGGCUAACUACGUG
rnacentral:rRNA from 1 species